rnacentral:rRNA from 1 species
AUUGAACGCUGGCGGCAUGCCUUACACAUGCAAGUCGAACGGUAGCACGGGAGCAAUCCUGGUGGCGAGUGGCGAACGGGUGAGUAAAGUAUCGGAACGUGCCCAGUCGUGGGGGAUAACGUAGCGAAAGUUACGCUAAUACCGCAUACGAUCUAUGGAUGAAAGCGGGGGAUCGCAAGACCUCGCGCGAUUGGAGCGGCCGAUAUCAGAUUAGGUAGUUGGUGGGGUAAAGGCUCACCAAGCCGACGAUCUGUAGCUGGUCUGAGAGGACGACAGCCACACUGGGACUGAGACACGGCCCAGACUCCUACGGGAGGCAGCAGUGGGGAAUUUUGGACGAUGGGCGAAAGCCUGAUCCAGCCAUGCCGCGUGCAGGAUGAAGGCCUUCGGGUUGUAAACUGCUUUUGUACGGAACGAAAAGGUUUGGCCUAAUAAGCUGAGCUCAUGACGGUACCGUAAGAAUAAGCACCGGCUAACUACGUGCCAGCCGCCGCGGUAA